rnacentral:rRNA from 1 species
AUUGAACGCUGGCGGCAGGCCUAACACAUGCAAGUCGAACGAGUGGCGGACGGGUGAGUAAUGUCUGGGAAACUGCCCGAUGGAGGGGGAUAACUACUGGAAACGGUAGCUAAUACCGCAUACCAUCGGAUGUGCCCAGAUGGGAUUAGCUAGUAGGUGGGGUAACGGCUCACCAAGGCGACGAUCCCUAGCUGGUCUGAGAGGAUGACCAGCCACACUGGAACUGAUACACGGCCCAGACUCCUACGGGAGGCAGCAGUGGGGAAUAUUGGACAAUGGGCGAAAGCCUGAUGCAGCCAUGCCGCGUGUAUGAAGAAGGCCUUCGGGUUGUAAAGUACUUUCAGCGGGGAGGCGGUACCCGCAGAAUAAGCACCGGCUAACUCCGUGCCAGCAGCCGCGGUAAUAC